GGUGCGGCCUCGGGGCGCCUGCAUCGCAGGCUGAGACGCGACAUGCGGACCCGUUGAACCUGACCCGGAUCAUGCCGGCGUAGGAAAGGCGAAGGCGCUUGAC
rnacentral:ncRNA from 1 species